AGCAGCCGCGGUAAUUCCAGCUCCAAUAGCGUAUAUUAAAGUUGUUGCAGUUAAAAAGCUCGUAGUUGAAUUUUGGGUCUGGCCGGGCGGUCCGCCCUCUGGGUGAGCACUGUUCCGACGCCGGGCCUAUCCUUCUGGUGAGUCGGCAUGUCCUUUAUUGGGUGUGCCGGGGAACCAGGACCAUUACCUUGAAAAAAUUAGAGUGUUCAAAGCAGGCGUAUGCUCGGAUACAUUAGCAUGGAAUAAUGAAAUAGGACGCGUGGUGCUAUUUUGUUGGUUUCUAGAACCGCCGUAAUGAUUAAUAGGGAUAGUUGGGGGCAUUAGUAUUCAAUUGUCAGAGGUGAAAUUCUUGGAUUUAUUGAAGACUAACUUCUGCGAAAGCAUUUGCCAAGGAUGUUUUCAUUAAUCAAGAACGAAAGUUAGGGGAUCGAAGACGAUCAGAUACCGUCGUAGUCUUAACCAUAAACUAUGCCGACUAGGAAUCGGGCGAUGUUAUUCUCAUGACUCGCCCGGCGCCUUA
rnacentral:misc_RNA from 3 species